rnacentral:rRNA from 1 species
GAUCCUGGCUCGGGACGAACGCUGGCGGCGUGCCUAACACAUGCAAGUCGAACGGGACUAUUGAAGAAGCUUGCUUUUGAAAUAGUCAAGUGGCGGACGGGUGAGUAACGCGUGAGGACCUGUCUCCGGCAGGGGGACAACAUUUGGAAACGGAUGCUAAUACCGCAUAAGCCGAGAGGUGAAAGGAGCAAUCCGGCAGGAGAGGGACUCGCGUUCUAUCAGCUAGUAGGCGGGGUAAAGGCCCACCUAGGCGAAG